rnacentral:lncRNA from 1 species
UGUAGGUAACAUGGCUUGUCUGGCAUGGAUGAAACAGCUAGCUUGAAGUUUACCUUCAAGCUAGGAACAGAUAAAGCAUCUUAGAGAAAUGCAGGUCAUCUGAGGAAUUGUGUCUUCUUUCCAUUUGUAUGCUAUGGCAGCUGUGUUAAAAAAAGAAGUAUGUCUCACUUAUAAUCCCAUAGCUGUACCUUGGGUCGAUGGUGCUUCUCUCUUUGAGAUGCUUUCAACUUAGACACCUGCUAUACUUGUUAGUUGUUACCCUACAAAUGUGAAACUCUUGUCCAUCCUGGUCUACCUAUGCUACACAUUGAAACCUAUAUUUUUCUAAGCAUUGAAGUUGAGCAGUCCAUUUACCAGGAUAUGCAAGUUAAUCAUUUUGGAAUCCAUAAGGAUUUGAUUUGAGAUCUACUUUCAUGGAUAAGUAAACUCCUGCUUUAGGAGUAAAUUGCAUGUCAAUUGAAAGAAGUUUCUUAUGUAUACCCAUCAUUUGUUUAAGAAUAGUGCCAUUUAAUGCAAUUCCUGGAAAUUUGGGAUCAAAUCACUUGGUGCAUUACAGAUAUGUGUUGGACAUAUGAAAAUUAGAAGUUGAAUAGCAAGUUGCAGUGAACAUGGGAUGUUUUUCCUACUGGUGUUUGUCUCACAAAUAGCAACAGAUGACUUUUAGAGAUAUCUCAUUUUAUAUAUAUAUGGUCAGAAGUUUGUAGUUAGCUGAUACUAGUUUAGUACCAUACACAAUGAGAGAGGUAGAAAAUACUGGACUCUACUAAGUGGGCACCGCAGCCAGUCAGCCACACACACUAAGCUAUAAUACUGAUGCCAUGAUUUGGAUAAAAAAAGAAGAAUUCAAUUCCUGCUACACUAUUUGUUUCUGAAUAUUUAUGCCAAAAAUUCCAGCAUGUUAUUCGUUGAUGCAAACUCUCUGGCAUUCUGUUUGACACGAGACGUAAAUCGGUUAAAUUGAAUUUUUUAUCUCUAUGUAGGCAUUUAUUGAGAUGCAUUUUGUUUAAUUUCUUUGAAGUUGCUCUAUCCAGGAGAAGAAGUCAAAUGCACUUACAUAUUGCCUUAGUUGGAUAUGUCAUCUUCUGUAAAAUAAUAUAAUAGGAAACUUGUUGCAGAUUACCCUAGAAUGGUUUGCCCCACACCAAAAGAUGGUCACUGCAUAAGAUGAGCAAUGAAGUUGUUUUUCUCCAGAAUUACACUCAUCAAAUGGACUCUUUCUAGCUGUUGAUCAAGCGCAGUAGUCUUCACAUUCCUGGGAUGAAAUUAGGAGCGAGGUACACCAGUUCACUGUCAUCAGCUCAUCAGUUGAGAAACUUACCAAUCUUGGGUAAAUCUAGACGUAAUUCAUGUCCUCUUUUCCUAGACCAGCUUCAUCUUCAUCUCUUUUUAGUUCCAAGCGUAUGCUGCAUUUACGGUAGGGGAGGGAGUCAUAACUGCCUUUUAGAUCAUAUUCUCAUUGUUUUUGCACGUCCUACUAUUGGUUUCACUAGGCAUAUCAGUCAGCAGACUAUCCACCAAGACCCCUGGCUUCUGGCUCGCAAAAAACUGAUGGUUAAGAGUAAGGUUUCUCCCUACUAAUGUUUUCACUUGGCACGUCCCUCCAAAUAUGCAUGGUUGGCAUUUUGGAAACAAACAUAACUUUUUUAUUGAACUAAUCCAUUAUUCUGAUCUGAUUGUAGAUGAUUUAAUAAGGAUACAGCAGCAAGAGCUUGAGUAGUCCAGUGGGAAAACUUUACUAUCAGCAAGCGGUGAACCAAAGUAUUGCUCCAGAGAAGUUUCGAUGCUGGCAGCAAGUCUGGCUACAGAACCAACUUUGAGACUUGGGAAUAACUGUAUGGUAUAGACCUGUAAUUAUGGUUAUUAAACUGAUCCUUUCAACGGCUCACCACACACAAGCAAUGAA